rnacentral:rRNA from 1 species
GACGUAGGGCGCGAGCGUUGUCCGGAUUUAUUGGGCGUAAAGAGCUCGUAGGCGGCUUGUCGCGUCGACUGUGAAAACCCGCGGCUCAACUGUGGGCUUGCAGUCGAUACGGGCAGGCUGGAGUUCGGUAGGGGAGACUGGAAUUCCUGGUGUAGCGGUGAAAUGCGCAGAUAUCUGGAGGAAUACCGGUGGCGAAGGCGGCAUCCUGGACCGACAUUGACGCUGAGGAGCGAAAGCUAGGGGAGCAAACGGG